GUGCCAGCAGCCGCGGUAAUACAGAGGGUGCGAGCGUUGUCCGGAAUCACUGGGCGUAAAGGGUGAGUAGGUGGCCUGUUAAGCGUGUGGUGAAAGCCUGGGGCUCAACCCCAGGUCUGCCGUGCGAACUGACAGGCUUGAGCAGAGUAGAGGCGAGUGGAAUUUCGGGUGUAGCGGUGGAAUGCGUAGAUAUCCGAAAGAACACCGGUGGCGAAGGCGACUCGCUGGGCUCUUGCUGACACUGAAUCACGACAGCGUGGGGAGCAAACAGGAUUAGAAACCCUGGUAGUCC
rnacentral:rRNA from 1 species